AACGCACAUUGCGCCCCUUGGUAUUCCGGGGGGCAUGCCUGUUCGAGCGUCAUUAUAACCCUCAAGCCUCGCUUGGUGUUGGAGCCUGCGACCUCGCAGCUCUUAAAAUCAGUGGCAGUGCCCUUCGGCUCUAAGCGUAGUAAUUCUUCUCGCUAUAGGGUCUGGAGGGUCCGCGCCAGAACCCCCAACUUUCUAUGGUUGACCUCGGAUCAGGUAGGGAUACCCGCUGAACUUAA
rnacentral:misc_RNA from 1 species